rnacentral:sRNA from 1 species
AUUUACCUAAAAUUAAUGUUAAUUUUUCGCUUCAUUAUCAGUUCUAAGUGUGAACAAAACCCUGCCUUAUGAUGCCACCUUUCUCAAGGUAUUCAUUUCACUGCCUCAAAUUAAUGAGAUCGCAUCGAGCAUAUCGAAGAAUUCGAUCGUGGAAGGUGCCAAUGAAAUUGCUUGGGCUCUCUUAAAGUUGACGGAUUUGACGACUUUGGCCGGGGAUGAUACGGCGGCAAAUGUGCGCCGGCUUUGUGUGCACGGAUUACUUCGAAGAUUCUGUUGAAUUAUUCGGCCGAUUGAGCAAUUCAAAUCGUACAUGGGUUCUCGUUUUGCACCACUCCAAAUCCGUUGGAUCGGGUCGUAGGUGCUUUUAAAGAAAUUUCUCAUUUUGUUACUAUCAAGUGCUCUUUCCGCAUUAAGUUUCAAAGACAAUAAAAGUCCUCCUGAAAAUGCAAUCUGUUAAAUAGCCCCAAGCUAAGCGUUC